rnacentral:rRNA from 1 species
AACGCGAAGAACCUUACCUGGGCUCGAAAUGUAGUGGAAUCCGGCAGAAACGUCGGCGUCUAGCAAUAGACCGCUAUAUAGGUGCUGCAUGGCUGUCGUCAGCUCGUGUCGUGAGAUGUUGGGUUAAGUCCCGCAACGAGCGCAACCCUUAUCUUCAGUUGCUACCAUUUAGUUGAGCACUCUGACGAAACCGCCUCGGAUAACGGGGAGGAAGGUGGGGAUGACGUCAAGUCCUCAUGGCCUUUAUGUCCAGGGCUACACACGUGCUACAAUGGCCGGUACAAACCGCUGCAAACCCGCGAGGGGGAGCUAAUCGGAAAAAGCCGGCCUCAGUUCGGAUUGGAGUCUGCAACUCGACUCCAUGAAGCUGGAAUCGCUAGUAAUCGUGGAUCAGCAUGCCACGGUGAAUACGUUCCCGGGCCUUGUACACACCGCAUAC